rnacentral:rRNA from 1 species
AACGAACGCUGGCGGCAGGCCUAACACAUGCAAGUCGAGCGGACCCUUCGGGGUUAGCGGCGGACGGGUGAGUAACGCGUGGGAAUAUGCCCUUCUCUACGGAAUAGUCCUGGGAAACUGGGGGUAAUACCGUAUACGCCCUUUGGGGGGAAGAUUUAUCGGGGAAGGAUUAGCCCGCGUUGGAUUAGGUAGUUGGUGGGGUAAUGGCCUACCAAGCCGACGAUCCAUAGCUGGUUUGAGAGGAUGAUCAGCCACACUGGGACUGAGACACGGCCCAGACUCCUACGGGAGGCAGCAGUGGGGAAUCUUAGACAAUGGGGGCAACCCUGAUCUAGCCAUGCCGCGUGAGUGAUGAAGGCCUUAGGGUUGUAAAGCUCUUUCAGCUGGGAAGAUAAUGACGGUACCAGCAGAAGAAGCCCCGGCUAACUCCGUG